UCAAACCAUGAGCGCGCUGUUAUCGCGCCUCUCAGCUGAUCUCAGCUGAUCGAAGAAGUUAUUUUCACAUUUGCCAGGUCUACCGUUUUUACGGUGGGUCUCCCGUUUUCUUGAGAACUACUGCUCUACCGCUAAGCCAUCAGAACCUACUGCUAAACGUUACGUUAAACACUUUAAAUAUAACUAUUAUAUAUUACACUAUUUGUCAACAAAUCAGCUACAUUGCACUGCGAUUGGCGAUUGGAUUACAUGUUUUUUUUUUCGUUUUUCGUUUCCUAAAGCGCGCCUCGGAGCUACGCUAACACCUUCUUGGCUGAAGACCACUUAAAAAGUUCGAAACGUUCAAAUUUACAAACAUUCAAUUAUUUCCCGUUUUGUUUUUAAAUCUAUUCUAUAACUGUCUAUCUAAUCUAUGUUUCUUAUGUCUAUUCUACUGCUUUCGUAGUACUUGACCUGGCAACACUGGUCAUGUUGUGAAAAUUUUAACCAUAUUUUUCCAAUAACAAAACAAAAUGGUUACUAAGUGAUUCUAAUUUGCUUCACAGGAAUUCACAAUGCACAGAUGUUUCGUCGGCUUUUAUAUUUGGUGCUUUUUACAACCUUGUCUGUUUCAUGAUCGGUUUUCCAACAGCGGUAAGAAAUAUUUCUUCGAUCGAUCAUAUUUGAAGGUCAUACUCCGGAGUCAUAGAUAAAGACAAGCCCGGAGUAUAGAUUAUGAGUGAAGUAUUUUAGUGCUUAUUUUAACAAAUAUCUUAAAUGGAACAUAUGUGUGGAUGUUAUUGUUAAUUAGGCAAAAAGGCACUUUAUAUUUUAAGGUUUUAGAUGCAUCUCAUUUAGAUUUCAAAGCAGCCCUCUUGAAACCAGUUAACCAAAAAACGCUCAACCAAUAAGCUGAAUAUAGUUUAAUGCGGAGGCCUUUAUAUUUGUCUGCUUUACACGAGAUCCACCCCUAGAGCAGCAUUCUUGGCUGCGGCUACUACCUAUGGUGGAGUUGGAGCAGAAAAGGAAAGUUGCAGCUGUAAAAACUAAAUCUUUAUCUAUGGAUAUUAAAAUUUGAAGAUGAAAAUCCGGUUUGCUGAAA